UUUUUUUUCCCCUCGGCUAGGGUUUCGAAUCGGUUUCUCCGAUCUCUUCUUUUGCCCUCUCCUUCGAUCACUGGCGAGUGUGGAAUCCGUUUGUCUAGAUCGCGAAUCGCAAGCUAGCUAGCGAUUUCAAUAGCUCUACUCCAGCAGCAUCGUCGGUCUUCCUCCUGCUGUGGUUCUGCUGCAACUCUGUAAUUUUGAUUCUGCGCCUCACUUUUUCUAUGCAUGGUUACAACUUAGUAGACCUUGUUUGGCGUUUGUUAGAUGUUCGACUGAGCAGACCUUGUUUGGCGUUUGUAGUUUUUAUGAGAUACUAUGCAUUCAUUGAAAGCAUUUUAC
rnacentral:lncRNA from 1 species